rnacentral:rRNA from 1 species
UACGUAGGGUGCGAGCGUUAAUCGGAAUUACUGGGCGUAAAGCGAGCGCAGACGGUUGUUUAAGUCAGAUGUGAAAUCCCCGAGCUUAACUUGGGAACGGCGUUUGAAACUGGGCAGCUAGAGUAUGUCAGAGGGGGGUAGAAUUCCACGUGUAGCAGUGAAAUGCGUAGAGAUGUGGAGGAAUACCGAUGGCGAAGGCAGCCCCCUGGGAUAAUACUGACGUUCAUGCUCGAAAGCGUGGGUAGCAAACAGG